ACAUUAAGAAGCUAAUAGACCAGCGCUAGCCUUUUAAGCUAGAAAAGAGAACUCCGCCCCUCCUUAAUGA
rnacentral:tRNA from 1 species